AAUGCCGAAGAGUUGCUGCGUUCGUGGAACAACUUAAAAGAGCCAAACUUAAGAUUUUCUCUGCUCCCUUCAAGAGAGGGAAACAAAAAGAGGAGAGGUUUAAUCAUUUAUGGCUUCAGGUGAUACGAAGAGUGAAUGAAAAUGGCCGUGGGGCUAGUCCGUACGUGUGUGGGAAACACUUCAUCACAGAGCUAAAUCAUACUUCAACUAUGAGAAGUGGACUACGGUGAAAUAUCUGAUUGCGUGUCGUCCUGCAGGCAGCAUCACCUUCUUGUCCCAUGCCUGGGGGGGCAGGCCAUCACAUGUUAAGAUAACAAGGGAAUCAGGCUUCAUUUCACCUGCUACCACAUCGUGGGGACCAGGGGUCCGUUUCACAAAGCAGGUUCAACAAACUCUGAGUCUAAUCCUGAACUCUUAGUUGAUCUACUCUGAGAUCGGAAACUCUGAGAUUUCGGUUCCUGAACAGCGGUUUAGAGGAUGGACAGCCACCACCUGCCCAGGAACAGUUCAAAUCUUCACGGAAUCUGAAUACCUGCUAUGGCUGCCAGAGAUGAUGAAUAUUUUCCUGUUGGGAGGAUGAUCGCUACAUCAAUAGUCCACGGUGGUCCAGGGCCUCGAUUCUUGUCGGAAAUGCUCUACGACCACCUCACGGGAAAAUCCAGCGUUGAUGUUGAAGCAAGGAUUGAGGACAUCACAGAUGAUACCAUGAGAGCUCCUUGCUUGAGGUGUGUUGUCAAAUCAACAAAGCUCACAAUAUAUCCAGUGCAGCAACACUGGAUGAACUGCAUGCAGUCAUCGACAAACAUUCAAGUCUGUUGCAGACUGCUGGUUGUCUUCAGUACCCAAAUGUUGUGUUGGACAAGAAGUUAAUCAUUAAGGACUUCAUGCAGUGGUACUUCAUUUACCGCAACCAUUUCUCAAUACAAAGGUUCAAGGAUGGGCUUUCAGCACUUAAUGUGAUUCAUGCUUUGGAGCAGCAUGCAUCCAUAUUCAAGGCAUUUAUGUGCUCAAGUGUGGAACAGCUGACAUCCACAACACUGGAUAACCUUUUCCAGGUUCAACUCAGUGAACAAGGCACCACAAGACGCCAAGAGGAAACCAGAGUACUAGCAUUCUGGAGAGACUAUCUCCUCCAUACAGAAGAUAAACACACAGGACUUUCCCUCCCUGACAUCCUGAUGUUCGCCACAGGACUCAGUUCCCUGCCCCCAUGUGGGAUUAAUCCAAGACCAAAGCUGGAGUUUCAAAGGCUGUCUCGCUUCCCAUGCAGCAGAACCUGUGCAAACACAAUGGAAAUUCCACUGUCAAUGACUUAUGAAGAGUUUCGAAAGGACAUGGACUUUGGAAUACAAAAUUCACCUGGUUUUGGACUGUACUCAUUUUUUUUUUUUUUAAUUUUUAGUUCAACAGUUAUUACCUGUAUUUUCAGUUCUGUUACAAAUCAGCCAUGUUCUUCCAGGUGAUAUAGAGUUCCACACAGGUCUCCCAGGUCAUUGGCUGCAUUAGAUUACGUUGUCUCUGUAGCUCCUCAGAGUGUGACUGGAGAUGGCGAUCUCCACAUGGACUGUGUGUUGCCUCACUCUCAAAUGGCCGCAGUUCCUCGAGUGAAACUGGAAACCCACAGUCAUUUCCACCAAACCUGGGAGUGAAAAUAUAUUCAUAGUCUUAGUGUUAUGUGUUGCUUGAACUACCGAGCUGAAACUAAGACUAUUACCUUUUCUAUUAUUAUGUUAUUUCAAUAAUUUUUCACAUCUUUUGAUGACAUUCAUUUUUGUUGUGUUUUAUAAUGUUAUUUCA